UACGAAGGGGGCUAGCGUUGCUCGGAAUCACUGGGCGUAAAGCGCACGUAGGCGGAUUUCUAAGUCAGGGGUGAAAUCCUGGAGCUCAACUCCAGAACUGCCUUUGAUACUGGGAAUCUCGAGUCCGGGAGAGGUGAGUGGAACUGCGAGUGUAGAGGUGAAAUUCGUAGAUAUUCGCAAGAACACCAGUGGCGAAGGCGGCUCACUGGCCCGUUACUGACGCUGAGGUGCGAAAGCGUGGGGAGCAAACAGG
rnacentral:rRNA from 1 species